AGAUGGCGACCGGCGCACGGGUGAGUAACACGUAUCCAACCUGCCGAUAACUCGGGGAUAGCCUUUCGAAAGAAAGAUUAAUACCCGAUGGCAUAAUAGAACCGCAUGGUUUGAUUAUUAAAGAAUUUCGGUUAUCGAUGGGGAUGCAUUCCAUUAGGCAGUUGGUGGGGUAACGGCCCACCAAACCUUCGAUGGAUAGGGGUUCUGAGAGGAAGGUCCCCCACAUUGGAACUGAGACACGGUCCAA
rnacentral:rRNA from 1 species